AAUAACAGAUAAAACAGAUAAACAAUAUAUAUAUAAGUUUAGGGUUUGUUUUUGUACAAUGGGAGAAUUGGUUGAGGGUGUGAAUACUUAUAUAAGUCAGUGAAUUAUGAUAUGUAUAGCAGAGAGGACUGGUGCAUGUGAGCUUACAAUCUCUUCUUUCUUUCGGUUUCCCCACACAGUGAAUUUUGCGAGCGACGAAGCGUUUUCACAGCGUUUUCGAAGCGAUUUUCAGAGUGAUUUUCCGAGUGAUUUCACAGCGAUUGUUUUAGAGAUAUUCAGUGAUAUUCCAUCUGAUUUUUGGCGUUUGGAAAAAACAUCUUCCUUUGACAUCAGCUGAUAUCUCUUUAUAACCCAACAGCUCUUUUAAGAGCUAAAAAACUUAGGCGCAAUGCUAUUCUGCGCCCCCUGGAGGAAGGUAAGUCAACUGCUACUGUUUGAGCUGAAUUUAGGGUUUUGCUGAUUAGAGAACAGGUACAGAUAAAGUAUAGAAUGUAAUAGACUCUUUCUCUUCUCCUUCGGCCACAGGCGGAAUCCAGAACCCUCUCCGAGACUUAUGAGGUGAGUAGAAAGGAGGGUAAAACACUCGCCGCUACUGCCGGAAGUGAGACGUGUUUUGUACCCUGGGGAAUAUUAUGUUAUCAAUAAAAUCCUUCUUUUUUCUAUUUUAUUUUCCAGCCUCCUGAUGGUCGGCUGACCAAGGAUGUGCUUGUUGGAGAGGGCGGCACUGGAGACGUCUACAAGGUAAGUUACCAACCAAUUCCUAGAGAGUAGGGGAACUGAACAAGAUUGUGAUCACUAGACACAAUCACACAAUGAUUUAGGCAGACAUAUCAAGCUUCUGGUUUGGGGGCUGCAUUAGACCCUCUCUUUCCUACUUGUAUAUAAGUCAACCUUUCUGUCUGUAUUACAGGGACGACACCAUCGUAGAGGCGUGGUAGCGGUGAAGAUCGCCAACAUCAGCCGAGAUGAAGAGUCAGUCUGCAGGGAGCUGAAGUUUCUCCAGCAGUUCGGAGGCCACAAGAACAUCGCCUCUUACUAUGGAGCCUACUACAGGGCUCCACUCACGGAGUGCUCAUCGGAGCUCUUGGAAGUAAGAAAUGAUUUACUGUAUCGUGUUCAUUCCUCUUGUGCCAAAACAAUCUCCACUGGAAGUGAUAGAAUACAUGACCUGAAAUAAUUUCUAUAUAUUGCAGAUUGUUCUUGAAUACUGUGGUGGAGGCUCUCUGUACAACCUCAUCAGUAAGACCAAUGGCCAAUCCCUGAAGGAGACCUGGAUUGGCUAUGUCUGCAAGGAGGUUUUAAAGGGGCUGCACCACAUCCACAAGAACCGGGCCGUUCAUAAAGACAUCAAGAGCCCGAACAUCAUGCUCACAGAGACGGCCAAAGUGAAGAUCAUCGACUUUGGACACAGCUGGGACCUGGACCCGCAAACUGGGUUGUGCCACGAAGCGGAAGGGACUCCACAUUGGAUGGCACCCGAGGC